CCUGUGGACUAUACAAGAACUUGUGAGUAGUCUUAGGACAAAAGCAUAUAGGGUGAAGCGGGAA
ncrna:unclassified sequences RAGATH-18 RNA